rnacentral:rRNA from 1 species
UAGAGUUUGAUUAUGGCUCAGAUUGAACGCUGGCGGCAGGCCUAACACAUGCAAGUCGAACGGUAACAGGAAGCAGCUUGCUGCUUCGCUGACGAGUGGCGGACGGGUGAGUAAUGUCUGGGAAACUGCCUGAUGGAGGGGGAUAACUACUGGAAACGGUAGCUAAUACCGCAUAACGUCGCAAGACCAAAGAGGGGGACCUUAGGGCCUCUUGCCAUCGGAUGUGCCCAGAUGGGAUUAGCUAGUAGGUGGGGUAACGGCUCACCUAGGCGACGAUCCCUAGCUGGUCUGAGAGGAUGACCAGCCACACUGGAACUGAGACACGGUCCAGACUCCUACGGGAGGCAGCAGUGGGGAAUUUUGGACAAUGGGCGCAAGCCUGAUCCAGCAAUGCCGCGUGCAGGAAGAAGGCCUUCGGGUUGUAAACUGCUUUUGUCAGGGAAGAAAUCCUUUGGGUUAAUACCUCGAAGGGAUGACGGUACCUGAAGAAUAAGCACCGGCUAACUACGUGCCAGCAGCCGCGGUAAU